AAAACAUAACCUGUCGAAGAAAUUAAAGAAAUUAGUUUGCUGCUAAAAUUUAUUGGAUCACAAACAGAGCGCUCGGUUUGUUUGGCUUAAGAAUGGUACCUUGGAGGUUCUUCGCCACUUGGAUAUCAUAUUUACAGGAAAGGGAAUGCGCCUGCGGUUAUAAUAACUAGCCCUCAUAUACUGGGAGGAUGGCCGGUGGUCUCACUGCUCUUCAUAUUUUUUCUCAGUCGGUUGUGCGCGACUUAUACACUCAUAGCCAUGUUCGCUACAUUUAGCUUGGUGAGAAUCACCCAUUCCCGUCAUUCUUGUUGGGGUCAUGCUUUUAGUUUGGUGUGAUUCACCCAUUCCCUCGCUGGGGUUUUCUCUCGCUUCUGGGCUAGGCCGCGUACCCCUCAGUGGCAGUUUCAGCUUGGUGUUUUCCCGAACAGUUACACGGCGCUCUGAAAUAACUGCUUGCUCAAUUUCAUAGCUUGUUCUUAGCGGCUCUUAUCUUCUUUGUUUUUUAUUGAGCUUUUUCACAAUGCUUGGCAUUCUUUUUUCAUGAUUCAGGGGUUGUGCAUGCAUCCAGUCCCCAAGGGCUCCAAAGAUUUUUAGGUCUGUUCUCGGUUGUGAUUUUGUUAGUUUUUAGUUGUGCUCUUGCUUA